CGUUACUAGUACAUUUGUAUAUUUUAUUAAAGCUAUGAAUGUAAAAACGGCGGUACAUGCGUGUAUUUUCUUUAGCUAUUUCUCGCGGAGGGUCAGUUUGCAUCAUUUUUUAGAAAUCUAGAAAAAAUGCUAUUUAUCUCAUAGCGACUUGUUUUGUAUGUUAACUAAAUAAAAACAUUUUUAAAAAACAGAAAUAAGAGUUCCGUAAAAUAUACACAUAGAUACAUGAUCUUUGCAAAAAGUUCUUGUUAAAUACCCAUUAUUCCGUUCCUACCACAAUCAUUGAACUAUUUUUAUGUUCUUAUGUUAGAUGGAAUCGCUACCUUUACGUCCAGCGCGGUAAUAGUCUCGUAUAAUCACUUAGGUGUAACUUGUAUAAUGAGCUAAUGAAACUUUCCUGACGGGUUAUUUACUAUCUGGAACGAAUUUAACGGGCUUUAACGCUAUCUCCCCGCCAUUGAAAAAUUGGUGUACAGAAGUACAAUAUAUAAAUUUGUUAGAAUGUGGUAGGGUGUUAUUAUUUUAUAAUCAAAAGGAUUGCACUUUAAUUGAGCGAAAGAUUAUGUGAUUAUCAGAUGCAAAUCCAAGAUAAAGGAUCAUUAAUGUGAAGAAACAGACUUAUAGAAGAAAUCAACAAGAUAUCAUACUAUACCUAGACUAUUUGAUGUGAAGGAUAAUGCUAUUUAUUGCCUGACAAAAUUCAUGCCAUUGUGUUUUGCUUAUUUAUUUUUGUUGUUGUUUUAUUUUAAGCAAUUAACCUAUAUAUCUUGAACAAUAGAUUACACAUGUAUCGUACUAAAAAUAAAUAAUGAAUAAAUAUACUUUUUUAAGAUUCGCUCAAAAAAGGAGAUGAAUCAAAAAAGGAGAUAAAUGGGGCAUAAAUAGGCCAUGUUUAAGUUCUUGUUGUGUGAAAAUAGAUAUUUCAGCUUUUUCAUGCCACAAUAUGAAAUCAAUCCUGUAUUUAUAGAAAAUAAACUUCACUUUUUUUGUUUAUUAUUCAUCUUUUUCUUUCGUUUGACACUAAAAUUUGAAUGACUUUCCCUUUAACUUUGUAAUUUGACUGAGUUUAGAAGAAUGUAGUCCGAAAAGACACCAGUGAAAAACGGAAAUAUGUUUCACUGCAGUCCUUUCAAUAAAACAAGGAAAAUAAACUAUUUUUUAUGUCAUCAAUAUUUCUCAAUAUUUCAGAAUUUAUAUUAAGGAUAUUUAAGAAUAUAAUGAAAAGGGAUACAAAGGUUUUUUUUAUGUAAUUACGUGAUUUAUUUCAUCGAGUGAUAUGAAAAUAAAUAUUUCACCAGC